CCCUAACACAUCCAACUCGAACAGAAGAGAGGAGCUUGCUCCUUGAUUUAGCGGCGGACGGGUGAGUAAUGUCUAGGAAUCUGCCUGGUAGAGGGGGAUAACGUUCCGAAAGGAACGCUAAUACCGCAUAAGUCCUCCAGGAGAAAGCAGGGGACCUUCGGGCCUUGCGCCAUCAGAUGAGCCCAGAUCGGAUUAGCUAGUAGGUGAGGUAACGGCUCACCAAGGCGACGAUCCCGUAACUGGUCUGAGAGGAUGAUCAGUCACACUGGAACUGAGACACGGUCCAGACUCCUACGGGAGGCAGCAGUGGGGAAUAUUGGACAAUGGGCGCAAGCCUGAUGCCAGCCCAUGCCGCGUGGAGUGAAGAAGGUCUUCGGAUUGUAAAGCACUUUAACUUGGGAGGAAGGGGCAUUAACUUAAUACCUCAG
rnacentral:rRNA from 1 species